rnacentral:rRNA from 1 species
CCCUUAGAUGUCCUGGGCCGCACGCGCGCUACACUGAGUGUCUGAGAUACGAGUCUGCCUGGUCCGGCAAGGUCUAGGUAAUCGCUAAAAGACACAUCAUGCUUGGGAUAGAUUAUUGCAAAUAUUAAUCUUGAACGAGGAAUUCCUAGUAAGCGCAAGUCAACAGCUUGCGUUGAUUACGUCCCUGCCCUUUGUACACACCGCCCGUCGCUACUACUGAUUGGAUGUUUAAGCGAGGUUCUCGAAUUGCUAGCGACUUAGCUUCGGUGAGGUCGCAGUGUGGGAAGUGAACCUAGCUUUGGUGUCUAGAGGAAGUAAAAGUCGUAACA